AUUCAUCUGACGAAUCCCAAAUAGGACGAAACGCGCGUCCUGGAU
rnacentral:hammerhead_ribozyme from 1 species